rnacentral:misc_RNA from 1 species
GAUGAAGAACGUAGCGAAAUGCGAUAAGUAGUGUGAAUUGCAGAAUUCAGUGAAUCAUCGAAUCUUUGAACGCACAUUGCGCCCCUCGGUAUUCCGUGGGGCAUGCCUGUUCGAGCGUCAUUUAACCCCUCAAGCCUAGCUUGGUAUUGGGUGCUUGUCCCGCCUCUCGCGCGGCGACUCACCUCAAAGUCAUUGGCAGCCCGCAUCUCGCCGGCCGUGAGCGCAGCACAGACGCGCUCUUGGCAACGACGGAUCGGCUCUCCAAAAGCUUAUUUCAACCACUGACUUCGGAUCAGGUAGGGAUACCCGCUGAACUUAAGCAUAUCAAUAAGCGGAGGA